rnacentral:rRNA from 1 species
AUUGAACGCUGGCGGCAUGCCUUACACAUGCAAGUCGAACGGCAGCGGGGGAGAAGCUUGCUUUUCCUGCCGGCGAGUGGCGGACGGGUGAGUAAUACAUCGGAACGUGCCCUGUAGUGGGGGAUAACUAGUCGAAAGAUUAGCUAAUACCGCAUACGACCUGAGGGUGAAAGGGGGGGACCGCAAGGCCUUCUGCUAUAGGAGCGGCCGAUGUCUGAUUAGCUAGUUGGUGGGGUAAAGGCGUACCAAGGCGACGAUCAGUAGCUGGUCUGAGAGGACGAUCAGCCACACUGGGACUGAGACACGGCCCAGACUCCUACGGGAGGCAGCAGUGGGGAAUUUUGGACAAUGGGCGAAAGCCUGAUCCAGCAAUGCCGCGUGUGUGAAGAAGGCCUUCGGGUUGUAAAGCACUUUUGUCCGGAAAGAAAUGGCUCUGGUUAAUACCUGGGGUCGAUGACGGUACCGGAAGAAUAAGGACCGGCUAACUACGUGCCAGCCGCCGCGGUAA